CAAACACUGGUUCCUGUACAAUCACUGAAGUUAAGCAAUGUUGAGCCCAGUCAGUACCAAGAUGGGUGACCAACUGAGAAUAACACAUGCUGUA